UACGUAGGGUGCGAGCGUUAAUCGGAAUUACUGGGCGUAAAGCGUGCGCAGGCGGUUCGCAAAGUCUGAUGUGAAAGCCCCGGGCUCAACCUGGGAACUGCAUUGGAAACUAACGGGCUCGAGUGUGGCAGAGGGGGGUGGAAUUCCACGUGUAGCAGUGAAAUGCGUAGAGAUGUGGAGGAACACCGAUGGCGAAGGCAGCCCCCUGGGCUAACACUGACGCUCAGGCACGAAAGCGUGGGGAGCAAACAGU
rnacentral:rRNA from 1 species